GAUGAACGCUGGCGGCGUGCCUAAUACAUGCAAGUCGAGCGAACAGACGAGGAGCUUGCUCCUCUGACGUUAGCGGCGGACGGGUGAGUAACACGUGGAUAACCUACCUAUAAGACAGGGAUAACUUCGGGAAACCGGAGCUAAUACCGGAUAAUAUAUUGAACCGCAUGGUUCAAUAGUGAAAGACGGUUUUGCUGUCACUUAUAGAUGGAUCCGCGCCGCAUUAGCUAGUUGGUAAGGUAACGGCUUACCAAGGCAACGAUGCGUAGCCGACCUGAGAGGGUGAUCGGCCACACUGGAACUGAGACACGGUCCAGACUCCUACGGGAGGCAGCAGUAGGGAAUCUUCCGCAAUAGGCGAAAGCCUGACGGAGCAACGCCGCGUGAGUGAUGAAGGUCUUCGGAUCGUAAAACUCUGUUAUUAGGGAAGAACAAAUGUGUAAGUAACUAUGCACGUCUUGACGGUACCUAAUCAGAAAGCCACGGCUAACUACGUG
rnacentral:rRNA from 1 species